GUAGCAAGUCAGUCUAUCGCCACUUUUGGGUGGAGGAAAGUCCGGGCAAUACAGAGCGCCAUGCUUCCUAACGGGAAGAUACCUGCAAGGGUAUAGUAAUGCAACAGAAAAUAACCGCCAUACUUUGUAGGGUAAGGGUGAAAAGGUGAGGUAAGAGCUCACCGGUAUUUAUGGUAACAUAGAUAGCCGUGUAACUGAUGGAUUGCAAGACCAAAUAUAUCACGAAUUAUUUAUAAUACAGGGCUGCUCGCUCUGGUGCUUAGGCAGUCGUGAGGGGUAGGUUGCUAGAGAUUAUGAGUAAUUAUAAUCCAAGACAAAUGAUAGACCGUUCAUUUAAUGAAUGACAGAACCCGGCUUAUCGACUUGCUAUUUUU
rnacentral:RNase_P_RNA from 1 species